UCAAAGAAACUGUUAACUCUUUAGCUGUCGCUCAUAAAAUAAGAACAAACUGCAUAUUAAAAUGUCACAUGAUGAUAAGGAAGACAGGCAGACGGAGUCUAAAGGAAAGGUAACACAGCUUCUUAUGGCUGGCAACAUUUUAGCAAAAUUACCAAAUUUGGCAGCAAGAGGCAUUCGAAUGAGAGAGAGAAAAAAAUACGGAAAAAAACAAAAAAUGCAAACAAAAGGCCAGAACAAAUAAAUAAACAAAUGCAGGUCCAGUUCGUGCCGAAGACCGAAAGCCGUUGAAGCAGCCAAGUUGAUCCAAGAUAUCAACAGUUAGGAGGAGCAGCAAAUGGAAAUUGGGGAGCGUGAGACAGAGACAGAGAGAGAGAGAGAGGGGAGAGGGAGGGCUUGC